UUAUGUUGAAUUCAUAGGUUAGCCAUUAUACACAGUACUGCAAUGAACAUGGGAGUGUAAACAUCUCUUUGACACACUGAUUUCAAAUCUUUCAGGUGAUUUGUUGGACACACCAAUGCUCCUGACACAUGCUAUUCACUUGGAGCAGCUCCUCUUAUGUGGCACAUUCACAGUGCAACGGCUCUGCAAGAAGCAUGGCCCCAGCAUCUGCUUCUGGUGAGGCCUCAGGAAGCAUUCAGUUGUGGAGGAAGACAAAGGAGGAGCAGUUGCGCUAUACAGCAAAAGAGGAGGAGGCAGGAAAAGGAGGAGGAGGUAGCCGGCUCUUUGUAACCAGCAGACCUCCCAUAACUAAUGGAGUGAUAACUCACUCAUUACUGCCAGAAAGGCAAGAAGGCAUUCAUGAGGGAUCUGUACCUACAACGCAAAGUCCUCCCACUCCUUCUAUUGUGGGCUACCUAAAAAUGGAACAUAUUAACUUCCAAGAUAUUUGGGUGCACAGAUAUUAAAAAUAAAAUAAGCUGCCACACA
rnacentral:lncRNA from 1 species